UUUUGGACAAAGUUUUUUUUUUCUUUUCAUUUAAUCGAAGCGAAGAAGGGUAGCGGGCACAGUAUCCAUGACCUUUGCAGGUUUUACCAGACAUGUGGAGAUCACUGUAGUUGAUGUUCCACUUUAUCUUCUGAAGAUUGAUGCCUGACGUUCACUGGAGGGAUAAAAGUAGAAUGGGGUACUAUGGUCUCUUGGCUGAAACAGCUUGAAGCAUCCCUUGGCAAAAUAAGCAUGAAAUAUCCUUGUAGACUUGUAUUCAGUAGCUGCCAAUCCUUGUACACAGAACUCAACUAUAUAAGAUAAUACAACAACAGCAACAGCAUCAGCAUCACCACCAUUACCAGCCUCACAAAUAGUUUCCCCGAUGUCCACAAUGCCGGACCUAUUAGCCACUAUAUCUAUAUCUAUAUGACUAUCUAUGUGUGUGUGUGUACACAUAUGUACAUACAUACACACAUAUGUAUGUGUAGUGACAACUUAUAGCAGACGACUGUUAUAUGUUCAAUGUCCGGAGUUUUAUCCACGCAUGCGCAGGGACUAGUUCCGGAAGGAAUACAGGAAGAGUCUCAUGCGCAUGCGUAGAGUUCGACACCCAGCUUUGGCGCCUUUUCUCAGUCUCUUCGUUGACUGAUCUCCGUCGAGCCAAGACAUCCAACAGAGCUCUCUCACGUGUCAGCACCAGAGCUUCACAAAUAACCACGGAAAUCAUUCAGAAGGCGUCUCAGUAACCGAGGGCGAUGAGCUACCGAAUUCCCUCCAAGCGUGAACUGAAUUCCACUGUAAAUAAAUAUUGUUAUGUUGUUCAGAA